AAACUCAAAAGAGUUGUUGUUCUUGGUCCAUCCAUCCCGCGCUUAUUCAAAAAGCCGAAGCCGCAGUCUCUAAGUGGGCUUCCGUCUCAAAUGUCAGAGCCAAUCAUCCUCUCAGACGAAGAAGACCACCACAAUGCCGCAUUCCCACCAUUUCCCUCUAAGAAACGCCGAACCCAAUUCGACCCGAGUCAGAAUCCGAAUCCGAAUCCAAAUCCAAAUCCUACGGUUCUCAUCCUCGACGACGACCCGACCCCGCAGAAACCCGGCCCCAAAUCCACGGCCUACUUGGUCCCGGACACCCCGAAUUCCGAUAUCGCAAUCGUGAAAUGCACAAGGGCUGCCCAGCACAAGUUAUCUGGCAUCAAUGGAUUGAUAUGUUUGGAAUCCGAUAAUGAGCCCGGAAGUAGUUGUGGAGGGGAAAAGAAGAAGGAAAAUGGAUCAAUGCUGGGUGGUUUUGGUCUGGCCAAGGUCUUGGAUUGGAGUCCGAGUUUUGUUGAGUCCUCAUGUGCACUUGGACAUUCUGAGCUGGCGCGCUCGCUUGAGGGCAGCUCUUCAACUCCUACUUCUUUGCAGGAUGAUAUUGAUCAGGUACUUGAUUGUCCUGACAAUGAAAACAUAAUGGAUCAAAUGGGCAAUAUUAUGAGACCAAGAAAAGAAUCUAUAGCUAUUACGGAAAAGGAAAAUACUACUAAAGAAGUAAAGGGAAGAAAGAAGAUGACCAAAGAGGAAAGGACACGCUUAAUGGAAGAAAAGAAGCUAAAGAAGCUUGAAGAGAAGUUGCAAAGAGAAGCUCUGAAAGCUGAAGCUGCAGAGAUGAAAAAAUUACAGAAAGAAAAGCUAAGGUGGGAAAAAGGGAAGUUUGCACUUAAAUCCAUCGUGGCUGAGAUUGAUUCUAAAGUAAUUGAAUCCGGAUCAGUUGGAGGAAGUCUGCUUACAAGGUUUGCCGAAAGGGGGUUAACAUACCGUAUAACAUCAAAUCCAAUUGAAAGAUCAAUUGUCUGGACGAUGACUGUUCCGGAACAUAUUUCACAGCUUUCUCCUGGAGGAGUGGAGAUUCAAUAUAUAUUGAUUGUUUAUGAGGCUGAAGAUUUUUGUAAACUCAUCAUCAACGAAUCUCUUCCGGGACAUGUCUUGAGAGUUCAAAACCAUUAUCCAUCAUAUACAGUGUGUUACCUCACAAAUAAGUUGAUUGCAUAUGUUAGGAAAAGGGAAGGACAACUGUACAAUGGCCGGGGCCACGAGGGACACCCAAGUGUUGACAAGGUUGAAAAGGUGUUGGCAAAUUUGACCACUAGCUUUUCCAAAGUACAUUCCAGGCAAUGCAAAGAUGAGGCUGAACUUGCUGAACAUGUUGUUGGUUUAACAUGUAGCCUGUCAUCCUGCCUUUUCAGGAAGAAGUUAACUAGACUUGAUGUAAAUGCUAAUGGAUCCUUUAUCACAAAGGACUGCGUUGACCGGCAUUUGAUAAAAAAGAGCUCAUGGUUAAAGGCUUUGGUAGCUAUCCCGAAGGUGCAGCCACGAUUUGCUAUUGCCAUAGGCAAGAAGUAUCCUACCUUGAAGUCUCUGUUGAGUGUUUACAUGGACCCAAAUAUAUCAGUACAUGAAAAGGAAUUUCUGCUCAAGGACUUGACAACAGAAGGUUUACUCGGUGGUGAUAGAAGAUUAGGUGAGGUGUGUUCCAAGAGAGUGUACAGAAUACUCAUGGCACAAAGUGGCUGCACCAAGACCGAUGAUGUUGAGGAUGGUGCAGAUUUUUUCAGGGUCAAUUGACUUAGUUGCUCCUCAAAAUUUCUAUAUAACUCUUACUUGUAUGGACAAAAGCAGAAUCCGGUCAUUUUCUUUCCGCAAUUGGCUUCCACCGAACUGAUGUAUGUGUGUUGAGGUCUGGUUAGUGCUAGGCUGUACCAGACAGAAUCCACAAAGGCAAUGAGAAGCUGUGCUUUGAACUAUGAAGUGGGAAGCUGUCCUUUCAAAUUUUAUUGAUGUAAUUAUGAUUUCACUGAUGUAUAAUGUAAAUCAAGUUCUUGGCUAUAGUUGUAUAGUUCAACCUAACUUCAGAUAAGAUUAGAGUUGCUGGUUUAGGUUAGGAGAAAUAAGCUUGUUAAGCUUGCAGCUUCUAUAGUGAUGUGCGGCGAAGUUUAAGGUCGGCUUGCUUGUCAUAGUUACAUGACAUCUAGUUAGAGCUAGUUUAGAGUGAAAAUUUGUUGGCAAACUUUAAUUGCAAAGUUGUGGAAGUCAGAAGGAUUGAAAUCUAGACCAUGUUGACCUGAGUCCUGACCAUUUGCAAGAAUAUUUUCAAAGGUUGUGUUUUCGCUGAAUCAUGGGAAGCAUAAGAACACGAACACGAUGCAGGGCAUAGCAUAAAUGAGGCCGCUGAUCAUUUCAUAAAUCAUAUAUGCUUGACCUUUCUCAAGUUGUAAGCAGAAAAGUUCCUCUUUUCUUCUUCCUUAAAAGGAAGUUUUACACACACAAUGCCCUUCUAGUAAGGGAUAUUUUUUUUUGUCCAUCAUUUGUGGGACUCACUUUUGUAUCACAUAUUGACAUUUCGACUAUAUAGUUUUUCGAUCUUC